rnacentral:hammerhead_ribozyme from 1 species
AUUUAACUGACGAGUCCUAAAUAGGACGAAACGCACGUCAUUUAU